GAAUUUUGGACAAUGGGCGCAAGCCUGAUCCAGCCAUGCCGCGUGCGGGAAGAAGGCCUUCGGGUUGUAAACCGCUUUUGGCAGGAACGAAACGGCGCGAGAUAACACCUCGCGUUCAUGACGGUACCUGCAGAAUAAGCACCGGCCAACUACCUGCCAGCCGCCGCGGUAAUACGUAGGGUGCCAGCGUUAAUCGGAAUUACUGGGCGUAAAGCGUACGCAGGCGGCUUUGCAAGACAGGUGUGAAAUCCCCGGGCCUAACGUGGGAACUGCAUUUGUGACUGCAAAGCUAGAGUCCGUCAGAGGGGGGUGGAAUUCCACGUGUAGCAGUGAAAUGCGUAGAGAUGUGGAAGAACACCGAUGGCGAAGGCAGCCCCCUGGGAUGAGACUGACGCUCAGGUACGAAAGCGUGGGGAGCAAACAGG
rnacentral:rRNA from 1 species